rnacentral:rRNA from 1 species
GACACGGCUGGCGGCGUGCUUAAUACAUGCAAGUCGAGCGAGGCCUUGGAAUUGGAGUCCUUCGGGAUGAAGAGUCCUUGGCCUAGCGGCGGACGGGUGAGUAACGCGUGGGCAACCUACCCCAAAGUCCGGGAUAACAGUGGGAAACCGCUGCUAAUACCGGAUGACUUUACCUGAGGGCAUCCUUGGGUAAAGAAAGGUUACGCUUUGGGAUGGGCCCGCGUCCCAUUAGCUAGUUGGUGAGGUAACGGCUCACCAAGGCGACGAUGGGUAGCCGGCCUGAGAGGGUGAACGGCCACACUGGGACUGAGACACGGCCCAGACUCCUACGGGAGGCAGCAGUAGGGAAUAUUGCGCAAUGGGCGGAAGCCUGACGCAGCGACGCCGCGUGAGCGAAGAAGGCCUUCGGGUCGUAAAGCUCUGUCCUUGGGGAAGAAGGCGAAAGCUUGACGGUACCCAAGAAGAAAGCCCCGGCUAACUACGUG